CAGACUGCCGCAGCAGGAAAAUCAGAAGAGCAACAUCAGGAAACAUCCAAAACAUUGCUUUCUGAAGAACAGGACCAUGGAAUUACAGCCAUAAUUGGGUACUCAGAAGAUGAAAAGGCAAAGGAAGGUGAAAUUUCUGGAUUGGUACUUGAACUCAAUGAGAACAUACAGCAAAUUAAUCCGAUUGAACCACCAAAAGAAGAAUGCAUUACUCUAGAUGAAGUAUCACAGUUAGAGCAUCAAGAAAAUGCGUCUGCAAUAAAAUGCUCAGAUUCUCCAACAGAAAGUGACAAAGUCAUGGAGCUGUCAGAAGAGGUGAGGCCACCAUAACUACCCUCAUCCUCUAUUAAUAGUCAUUAUUAAACUAAGUAAUUAACUUCAAUGGAUUUCUCUUUUGCAUUUCCAUAUGGUUUGAGUAGGUUUAUUUGAUAUAUUGAAGUUAUGUGCAUUGAAUAGGUGCCUGAGGAAGCUGAGAAAGCUGCAGAAGAACGUGAAAACAUCAAAGAACGGAUCAUAGAGAGAGAGAGAGAGAUCAACGAAUUUCCUGCAGUAUACAUUGAAGAUGAAUCAGUUGACAAGGUCAGCUUAACAUUAGUAUAUGAAAUAUUAAUUCAACCAUUUCUCAUAUGCUGCUGUCUUUUCUUUUUUCUAUCCACUAAUUUCAGCAUUAUCUGUUAAGCAGGAGCAACAUUCUGAGACGGUAUCCAAUGAGAAUCCUAGCGCAACAGAUUCCGAAGUGCAAACAGAAAAAAUGAACCUAGAGGUUGAGGAAGAUUUCAGCAAAGACCCUGAAGGAUCUCCCGUUACAAAAGCAAUGGAAGAAGAGAUGCUACAGAAACAGGGUAGUGAGGAGAAAGUGGACGUCUCCAGCUCUGUAUCUGAAAUAUCAGAAGAAAUUAAGGAGGAGAUCAUAGAAGACGCGGACACUUGCUCUAACAAUAUUGAUACUGCAUCUGAAAAAGUGGAAACAGAACAGACAAGCUUGCAGGAAGCUCAGCUGGAUGACAAGCAUAUAAAGAUCAUUGAGACUAGUUCAGAAGAUAAGACAUUGCAAACAAACACCGCAACUGAAACUAUUCCACAGGGUGUAGAAGUUGACAGAGUUAAGCUUGAAGAAACCUCUGAAGGGGUGUCUCAACUUCCAGCUAUUGCAUGUGAGAACAGAAACAAGGAGAGUGAAAUUGUGGAAAAGCCACAUGUAGAUGAAGUUGAAGAAAUUGAAGGAGCUUCUGAAACAGUAUCUGAGUCCAGAGAACAAUGUGUUGAAGAAAAUGAUGGAACACAGAAAAGCCUAACUGUGGAAGAAUCAGAAGAACGUAUAAUUAAAGAAGAAAUCAAAGGACCAUCUGAAACAGUGUCUGGAUGCAACUAUGAAGGUGUUGAAGCAGUUAUUGAAGAUGAAAUCGAUGUUGUUCAGACUGCCACAGAAGGAAAAUCAGAAGAGCAACAUCAGGAAACAUCCAAAGCAUUGCUUUCUGAAGAACAGGACCAUGGAAUUAUAGCCACAAUUGGGUACUCAGAAGAUGGAAAGACAAAGGAAGAAGAAACCCCAAAAAAUGAGAACCUAGAAGAUUCUUUUGCCACAAAGACAGCAGAUUACAUGCACUUGCAAAAGGAAGAGCCCAGGGAGCUCGAACUUUCUGGAUUGGGGCUGGAAGUCAAUGAGAACAUGCAGAAAAUUAAUCCAAAUGAACAACCAAAGGAAGAAUGCAUUACUGUAGAUGAAGUAUCACAGCUAGAGCCUCAAGAAAACGUGUCUGCAAUAAAAUGCUCAGAUUCUCCAACAGAAAGUGACAAAGCCAUGGAGCUGUCAGAAGAGGUCAGACCACCAUAACUGCCCUCAUCCUCUCUUAUUACUUGUUAUUAAACUAAGUAAUUAACUUCAACGGAUUUCUCUUUUUGAAUUUCCAUACGGUUUGAGUAGGUUUUAUUUGAUAUAUUGAAGUUAUGUGCAUUGAAUAGGUGCCUGAGGGAGCUGAGAAAGCUGCAGAAGAACGUGAAAACAUCAAAGAACUGAUCAUAGAGAAAGAGAGAGAUAUCAAGGAAUUUCCAGCAGUAUCCAUUGAAGAUGAAUCAGUUAACAAGGUCAGCUUAACAUUAGUAUAUGAAAUCUUAUUUCAACCAUUUCUCAUAUGCAGCUGUCUUUUUUUCUUUCUAUCCACUAAUUUCAGCAUUAUGUAUUAAACAGGAACAACAUUCUGAGACAGUAUCCGAUGAGAAUCCUAGAGCAACAGAUUCUGAAGUGCAAACUGAAAAUGUUAACCUAGAGGUUGUGGAAGAUUUCAGCAAAGACCCUGAAGGAUCUCCCAUUACAAAAGCAAUGGAAGAAGAGAUGCUACAGAAACAGGGUGGUGAGAAGAAAGUGGAUGUCUCCAGCUCUGUAUCUGAAAUAUCAGAAGAAAUUAAUAAGGAGGUCAUAGAAGAUGCCGACACUUGCUCUAACAGUAUUGAUACUGCAUCUGAAAAAGUGGAAACAGAACAGACAAGCUUGCAGGAAGCUCAGCUGGAUGACAAGCAUAUAAAGAUCAUUGAGACUAGUUCAGAAGAUAAGACAUUGCAAACAAACACCGCAACUGAAACUAGUCCACAGGGUGUAGAAGUUGACAGAGUUAAGCUUGAAGAAACCUCUGAAGGGGUGUCUCAACUUCCAGCUAUUGCAUGUGAGAACAGAAACAAGGAGAGUGAAAUUGUGGAAAAGCCACAUGUAGAUGAAGUUGAAGAAAUUGAAGGAGCUUCUGAAACAGUAUCUGAGUCCAGAGAACAAUGUGUUGAAGAAAAUGAUGGAACACAGAAAAGCCUAACUGUGGAAGAAUCAGAAGAACGUAUAAUUAAACAAGAGAUCAAAGGACCAUCUGAAACAGUGUCUGGAUGCAACUAUGAAGGUGUUGAAGCAGUUAUUGAAGAUGAAAUCGAUGUUGUUCAGACUGCCACAGAAGGAAAAUCAGAAGAGCAAAAUCAGGAAACAUCCAAAGCAUUGCUUUCUGAAGAACGGGACCAUGGAAUUAUAGCCACAAUUGGGUACUCAGAAGAUGGAAAGACAAAGGAAGAAGAAACCCCACAAAAUGAGAACCUAGAAGAUUCUUUCGCCACAAAGACAGCAGAUUACAUGCACUUGCAAAAGGAAGAGCCCAGGGAGCUCGAACUUUCUGGAUUGGGGCUGGAACUCAAUGAGAACAUACAGAAGAAUAACCCAAAUGAACCACCAAAGGAAGAAUGCAGCACUAUAGAUGAAGUGUCACCAUUAGAGCCUCAAGAAAAUGUCUCUGUGAUAAAAUGCACAGAUUCUCCUGUGGAAAGUGACAAAGUCAUGGAACUAACAGAAGAGGUCAGACCACCAUAACUACUCUCUCAUUACUCAUUACUGAAUUAAGUAAUUAACUUGUAUGCUUUUCCCUGUUUGCAAUUCCAUAUGGCUUGAGUGGUGGGUUUUAUUCAAUAUAUUGAAGUUAUGUCUACUGAAUAGGUGCCUGAGGGAGCUGAGAAAGCUGCAGAAAGGGAAAACAUCAAAGAACUGAUCAUAGAGAAAGAGAGAGAUAUCAAGGAACUUCCUGCAGUUUCCACUGAUGAAUUGGUUAUCGAGGUCAGCUUAAUAUUAAUGUGGAAUAUUAUUUCACCCUUUUCUCAAUGCCAAUGCUUUUUCUUCUUCCUGUGGUCUCUCAUGUCAACAUUAUCUGUUAAUCAGGUGCAAGUUCUGGAGCCAGUUUCCAGUGAAAAUCUUGGAGUGACAGACCCCAAUAUGCCUGCAGAGAACUUGAACUUAGAGGUGGAAGAUUCAAGUAAGGAACCAAUAGGAUCUCCCAUUACAGAAGCAUUGGAAGAAGAAAUGUCAGAGAAACAAGAUGGUGAGAAGGCAAUGGAUGUCCUUAGCUCUGUAUCUGAAAUGCAAGAAGAAAAUAUUAAAGAGGAGAUCAUGGAGAAAGCAGACAUUUCCUAUAGCAAGCUUGAUGCUGCAUCUGAAAAGGGGGAAACAGAAGAGUCAAGCUCGCAGGAAGCUCAGCUGGAUGACGAGCCUGUGAAGAUCAUUGAGACUAGUUCAGAAGAUAAGACACUACAAACAAACACCAUAACUGAAACUAGUCCACAGGCUGAAGAGGUUGACAGAAUGAAGCUUGAAGAAACCUUGGAAUUGGUGUCUCAACUUCCAGCUAAGGCAUGUGAGAACACAAACAAGGAGAGUGAAACAGUGGAAAGGCCAAUUGCAGAUGAAAUUGAAGAAACCACAGGAGCUUCUGAUACAGUAUCAGAGUCCAAAGAACAAUGUGCUGAAGAAAUUGAUGAAACC
rnacentral:lncRNA from 1 species